rnacentral:misc_RNA from 1 species
UCAUCAUGACCCUAUUAAA